rnacentral:rRNA from 1 species
GUGGGGAAUAUUGGGCAAUGGGCGAAAGCCUGACCCAGCAACGCCACGUGAAGGAAGAAGGUUUUCGGAUCGUAAACUUCUAUCCUUGGUGAAGAUAAUGACGGUAGCCAAGAAGGAAGCCCCGGCUAACUACGUGCCAGCAGCCGCGGUAAUACGUAGGGGGCAAGCGUUGUCCGGAAUGAUUGGGCGUAAAGGGCGCGUAGGCGGCCCGGUAAGUCUGAAGUGAAAGUCCUGCUUUUAAGGUGGGAAUUGCUUUGGAUACUGUCGGGCUUGAGUGCAGGAGAGGUAAGCGGAAUUCCCGGUGUAGCGGUGAAAUGCGUAGAGAUCGGGAGGAACACCAGUGGCGAAGGCGGCUUACUGGACUGUAACUGACGCUGAGGCGCGAAAGUGUGGGGAGCAAACAGGAUUAGAUACCCUAGUAGUCC